ACAGACACUCUGUGCUCCAGUUGCGCUAACAAGCAGUGUAAUGAAGACAACUGCUCCUGUUUCUCGGAAGACAAUGGGAGUGGAUCGGAACCCUGCAUAAAUGAUGACACCUGUCUGCUCCCAGAAUCCCAAUGCUGUCCUAGCAAUCUCAGGUUUAACAAUGAAACAAAGUGUUGUUAUGCACCCGUCAGUAACUCUGCUGUGAUCAUUUCAACAAGUACAGGAUUAUUCAGCAUCUUCCUGAUUUGGCAUUUACUGCAAUAAAGCACUGGAAAAGCCAUGAGUCAUAGAGAUGGUGUAUUAUGUAACACAAGCAGAAGUAUUAUGGGGGGAUAUCAUGGUACCAAAGAUACUAAUGAAGACGUGUCAAAUUAAACUUGCAGCUAAUUUAACAAAUUUUCCAUAUUUAUCAAUAUUUCAAAAUCAAAGAAUCUCCAGGUUCCUGUUAAGUUCACACUAACGUGUCUGCCAUGCCUUCAGUCUGCCUACAAUCGCUGUCUAGAAUUUGGCCUCAGAAAAACUGUUGAGGUACCAUAAAAAGACAGAUACAUUUAGGAUAUACAUUUACUAUCCAAUCACAAGGGAGCAACCAAAGUUUUCCUACCAAUCUCCAUAAUGGCAUGAAGUAACACAGAGCAGCAUUUUACAUUAACAGAGAAACUUAAAAUUGAGCUUCAGAAGGUUACUACAUUAUGAUAAAUGACAUGGGUUUACUUACCCUGCUGCCAUCUGGGGGGGCAGAGAGGGGACGGCGUCUGGCUUCAUUAGUGAAAACAGAGGAGUGUCACCGCCAUUUAUAGGGAGGGAAGAGGCCAGGGAUCUCCAUCAUAGGAAGGAUGGCCUCUGCGAUGGGUGACUUGUGAGGCACCAUAGGAGCCACAAGCCACCCUAUGGUAAGUCAGUGAUUUUAGGACACAGGUCGGAUCACUACUGAAGCAGCAGCUAUAGCCACUCCAUUUACAUCUGAAUCAGGCCCAGUAUAUAAAAAAAUCUGUCCAUAAUGUACAGAAGUAGUAAAGGCUAUAAUAACAAGUCUAAUUUAGCAUACAUUGCUGCUUCCAAGACAUAUAAGAUAGUAUAGUUCUUCUUCCUCUACUAAAAGUAUUUCUUGUUCUUCUGUAGUUCCAUUUUAAUAUUAGAUCACAGAUUUUUGUAAAUCUAAUUUCUAUGUUCUUCUGGAAGUUUAUUGUAAUCAUAACA